rnacentral:tRNA from 1 species
GGCCUCGUAGCUUAGCUGGUAGAGCAUGCUGUACAUGCUGUACACCAGAGUAGGCAGUAUCCAUGCGCGGGUUCGAAUCGCACCGAGGCUA